rnacentral:rRNA from 1 species
AGGUGACCAGAGUUGUCCGGAAUUAUUGGGCGUAAAGAGCGCGUAGGCGGUCCGAUCAGUCGGCUGUGAAAGUCCAGGGCUCAACCCUGGAAUGCCGGUGGAUACUGUCGGGCUAGAGUCCGGAAGAGGCGAGUGGAAUUCCUGGUGUAGCGGUGAAAUGCGCAGAUAUCAGGAGGAACACCGAUGGCGAAGGCAGCUCGCUGGGACGGUACUGACGCUGAGGCGCGAAAGCGUGGGGAGCAAACAGG